rnacentral:rRNA from 1 species
AGUGAACGCUGGCGGUAGGCCUAACACAUGCAAGUCGAACGGCAGCACAGUAAGAGCUUGCUCUUACGGGUGGCGAGUGGCGGACGGGUGCGGAAUACAUCGGAAUCUACUUUUUCGUGGGGGCUAACGUAGGGAAACUUACGCUAAUACCGCAUACGACCUACGGGUGAAAGCAGGGGAUCUUCGGACCUUGCGCGAUUGAAUGAGCCGAUGUCGGAUUAGCUAGUUGGCGGGGUAAAGGCCCACCAAGGCGACGAUCCGUAGCUGGUCUGAGAGGGUGAUCAGCCACACUGUAACUGAGACACGGUCCAGACUCCUACGGGAGGCAGCAGUGGGGAAUAUUGGACAAUGGGCGCAAGCCUGAUCCAGCCAUACCGCGUGGGUGAAGAAGGCGUUCGGGUUGUAAAGCCCUUUUGGUGGGAAAGAAAAGCAGCAGGUUAAUACCCCGCUGUUCUGACGGUACCCAAAGAAUAAGCACCGGCUAACUUCGUG